rnacentral:lncRNA from 1 species
GGGAAGGCAGGUACCCAGCGCAGGGUUACCUGCAGGCGGUUCGCCGGUUCCCGGGCCUGUCGGGACCUUGUCGCGACCGAGAGCUGGGGAAGGACAGCCUGUCCGAGACCUCUUUGCUCUCCUGCGGGCCUGUGCAGCGUUUGGGGCAAGAUCCGAGCCCUGUCACCCCCUUCCACCCUUGGGUGAGAGUAGAAUCCGAGGCCGUGAGCUGCUUCUCCGGUUCCGUGCUCAGCGAGGCCUGGAUCCGCACCGAGGCGCGUCCAGCUUACGUAUUUGCAACAGGGAGACAGAGAGGACGCCAGAGAAAGACAGACUGAAAGGGAAAGAAAGGGGCGAGAUGGCGAGCCAGACGGAGUUCGCAGAACCACACUAUUCUCUCUGGUGACUUCAGGGAAUUCUCAACGCUGGCGCCAAGCUCUCUUAACCAUGUGCGUCAAAAAUGCGAGGCUGGAGAAGCCUGUCGC